UGGUAUUGGUUCUGGACGUUGAUGGUAUUGGUUGUGGACGUUGAUGGUAUUGGUACUGGACGUUGAUGGUAUUGGUUCUGGAUGUUGAUGGUAUUGGUUCUGGACGUUGAUGGUACUGGUUCUGGACGUUGAUGGUACUGGUACUAGACGUUGAUGGUAUUGGUUCUGGACGUUGAUGGUAUUGGUUGUGGACGUUGAUGGUAUUGGUACUGGACGUUGAUGGUAUUGGUACUGGACGUUGAUGGUACUGGUACUAGACGUUGAUGGUAUUGGUUCUGAUCGUAACUCCCAUACUUUAACAUAGACAUACGACAUGCAUAGGGCUAAGGUGAUCGUAACUCCCAUACAUUAACAUAGACUUACGACAAUGAUGGGGCUAAGGUGAUCGUAACUCCCAUACUUUAACGUCGACAUACGACAUUC